UAUAAACAUGACAAUGAAAUGAGUCUAAUUCACUAAACAACAAUGAUACUCCUUGUAAAUAAGUAUUUUCCCUGCCCAAACCUGCAUCCAAUGUUUCUAAUCCUUUAAUCUAAGGUUGUUAGCACACAUCCUCCUGUAAGCAAGAGUCAGUCAGACACACGUACCUUCCAUGCCUUGCAGACCAGCAUGGCCCACCUGACCUUGCUCGCCACGGAAUCCGGGCGUUCCCGGUCUGCCACCGAUUCCGGGCAUGCCCUUCUGCCCCUGGGGCCCAAAAAAACCUAAAGGGAGAAAGAAGAUACAACCUUGUUGCUGUGUGUGAGAAGCGGGACGCCCUGGUGGUCCGGGAAUGCCCUGGUCUCCUAUUGGGCCCCUUUCACCUUGUACACCCUGCUCACCGAGGGGACCGGGGGCACCAGCUUAUCAGCCUGGUAGCAAAUGCGUCAUGGACCAGUACAGAUGGUUGCAUGGGGACCACUGCUUUAGAAAACUCUUGAAAAUAGGGUCCUUACUGGAAUCCCAUCGUUUCCAGAGAAGCCAGGGCCCAUUGUGCCACCUCGGCCAGCGUCACCUUUCUCCCCCUUUGGUCCUUCGAUGCCUGGAUCUCCUGGUCUCCCUGGGGGUCCCGUGAUGCCUUGAGGACCAACAGGCCCAUGGGUACCCUAAAAUAGGAAGGAGACAAAUAAAUAAUAUAUUUGGCAUUGCUUAAACCAGAGGUCGGCAACCCAAAAUGUUGAAAGAGCCAUACAGGACCAAAAAUACAACAACAAAAAAUAUCUGUCUGGAGCCCCCCCCAAAAUGUAAGGCCUUAUAUAAGUGUUAUAAUGAAGGCAACACAUUUUGUAAGUGUCUAUAUUAGCCUACUAUCAAAAUGACUAUGUGUCGCAGGCUGACGCAAAUCUUUGUUGACACAAAUGUUGAAAUGUAAUAUUUAUUCUACACAUUUUUGCGACAUUGGAAAACAUUGUAACACGUAGGCUUUUCAGAGGUUGUGAUAACUCCUGGAAAUUACUGGCUUAGAAUGGCCAAAGGUAAAGAUUUGCGUGUCCAAGUUGAAGUGAACGGAAGCUGCAAAUAAAAUGAGCUCAAAUAUACCUACAAACGAGGCAUAAUGAUGCAUUAUGUCCAUACAUCUGACAUAAAUUUCAUGUUAGCAUCGAUUAGGUUGCAGUCAUGCAGUGACUAAAUAUGUCUGAUUAGCGCUCCACACAAGUCAAUAACAUCAACAAAGCUCACCUUUGUGCAUUCACGCACAGCUUAAAAAGUUAGAUGGACAAAUAGAGACAAAGAAGGAGUGGCAUAAAACACGUCUUUCUGUGGCAGCAUCAAGGAAAGUUGUACAUGUAAACAAACUACGGUGCGUUCAAGGACUUCCGAAAUUAGGAGGACAAAUGGUGCACGCCAAAUACGCUCAUCAGUGAAGCAUUAUUAAUGUAAACAGUGGGAUUUCUAACAAAUAGGAAGGUUUGUGUCAUGUUUGCCCUCCUACAGAAACCAUAUUAAAACAAAACAUGUUUUUUUUCCCUCAGCCUUUUCCAUUUUCACACAUUUUUGAAAAGCUCCAGGAAUAGUGGAGGCCCCUGGGGAUAUUUUCGUUCACUUUUGUCUAAAAGCGCCAAAUUUGGCACAGGUGUAGCUCAGGGCAUACUUAAAUGAUACAGCAACUUAAAUGAUACAGCGACCUUUGGGGUCGCCACAGCGGCCAAUCAAAUAUGGGCGCCACUUGUAAUAGCUUUGAAACAUAUGAGCUACAAAUGUAAACUUGGUGUCUAUUUCAUGUGUUUUCACAAUUAGAAAUGUGUUGGAAUGCUCAUUUUUAUUUUUGGAUGUGUUUAGAGCCCUAAUUUGCAUAUUUCCAAGUGAUGUGUUGCUAUUCUGAAGACAUUGGACAUAACUUAGGCAUUGUUAUGAGUAAAACCUGGUGCAACAUGCACGAUUCCAUUCUAAUGUUUAUAUGAAAUGUCGCCUGGGGCGGAUUGUGGUUGUGACAUUUUGAAGACAUUGGUUUCGCUUAAAGGGCAACAACUACUCUGGCUACGUGGAGGCUGUCUUCUUUUUUCCCUUUUUUAAUUUUUUUUUUGAGGGGUGGGGUUGUUGUUGUUUUUGUUCCCCAAUUAAUUGACAAAAGCUGCACCAAGUGUGCGCAUCCAGGUUAGUGUGCUGGACCCUCAUUGUUGGUGCAUGCACCCUCAAAUCCACACAAUGAGGUGCAACAGACCCCAGAUUUUUUAUUUAUUUAUUUUAUUUUUUUUUUUUGUCCUGUCCAGCUUCUCAGGCAAAUCAUAUAGUUGAUAUAGAUGCCCAUAUCGGCUGUUCAGAUUUACUUUACAAAAGAGAAGUGUAGGAUACUUCUCUUGUUGCCUUAUUUGAAUUUGACUUUAUUAAAUGUAUUUAUAUUAUCAUUUGGUGCAGCCGGGCCGGAGCAGGAGGGGAUAAAAAGAGAAAAAAAAAAAGUAAGACAGAGGGGGAAACUGUGGGGAAAAGAGGGGGAUUAGACAGAGAGACAAAAACAACAACAGCAAAUAAUACAAUAACAACAACAACAGUAGAAUAACACCAGCACAUACAAUAUGUACAAAUAUGAUCGUAAAAGUGAUAGCAAAUAAGCAGCUAGUGAAAUAAAUAAUAAUAUAGUAAUGACAAUGAGCAUUUUUUCACUAAAACUGGAGCAAUAUAAAUACCAAUUGAAAAAGCGCUAUUGAUCAUGAACGAAACCAAUAGUUUACCUCUAUUAUCAACAAUACAGUUGUUCAAAUGCAACAAUACGUACACAUAAUGAUAGCUAGAGAGAUAAUAAAAAAUAAAUAAAUAAAUGGAAAAAAAAAAAGGAAUACCAAAAGAUGAAAGGGAAGAGAGAGAGGCAACCUAUAUAAAUAUUGUAGAUUGUUAUAGUAACAAUGGGUUAAGCUUUGUCAAUAUGCCAUGUGUUACCCAGUUUACCCUAGGGCAGGGGUGUCAAACUCAAAUACAGAGUGGGCCAAAAUUUAAAACCGAACUAAGCCGCGGGCCGAGGUUGAACAAAUUAACCUUUUAAUAGGGACCCAAACAAGUUUUGCAUUGAAUAUUGAACAAGCAAGGCUUAUAUAACUUUAUAGUGACAUGCAAAAUCGAGUUUCAAUUAAUAAUAAUAAUCAAAAAAUAUCAAUGGCAUAUCAGAAUUUAAAAAAAAAAUUGAAUGUCUCUUUUCGGCGGCGGGGUGGAGGUGUACGGGGUUUGGUGAUAGCGGGAGUUGUAUAUUGUAGCUUCCCGGAAGAGUUAGUGCUGCAAGAGGUUCUGGGUAUUUGUUCUGUUGUGUUUAUGUUGUGUUACGGUGCGGCUGUUCUACCGAAAUGUGUUUGUCAUUCUUGUUUGGUAUGGGUUCACAGUGUGGCGCAUAUUUGUAACAGUGUUAAAGUUGUUUACACGGCCACCCUCAGUGUGACCUGUAUGGCUGUUGACCAACUAUGCCUUGCAUUCACUUGAGUGAGUGUAUAAGCCGCAUAUAUUAUGUGACAGGGACGGCACGCUGUUUGUAUGGAGGAAAAGUGGACGUGGCGACAGGUUGCAGAGAACGUCAAAGGCAAUGCCUUUUAAGGCCCACCCCCAAUAUUGUUGUCCGGGAUGAAAUUUGGGAGGGGCGCUGUACUUUGGGAGUCUUCCGGGAAAAUCGUGAGUGUUGGCAAGUAAGAGUAUUAGCGGUGAAUGCGGUGUUACAGCGGCGGGCCAGCUCUAAUGUUAAUUUGAUAUUGCCUCAAGGGCCAAAUUAAAUGACACGGCGGGCCAGAGUUUGACACCCCUGCCCUAGGGCAUACAACGUUGAUAUAUGUUUGAUGAAACGUGAUUUUUGCAUGAGUGUAUGUGUGAAUAUAUACUUGUAUAUGAAGAGAAUGUGUAUAUGAAUGACAUACCCCAGAUUUAAAGCACUUGCAGCGCCCGCUACAAGACUUCUUCCACCCGCAGGGAAGAAGGAUGGCAUAGGCUGUACCGGCAUCUGGACCAGGACUCCUCAAAGCUUCAUAGGCUUAGAGGAGUCCUGGUCCUUGAAGGACAAUGUCAUUGAAUACUAUUAAAGGUUCAGGGAAAGAUACCGUAAGACAGUUGGAAGGUAAGGUGCCAUCACAUUUGUGUCCUGGUUGUAAACAAUACUUGUGUAAAACCAAGGCAGUCCUUGUCAACAAAAGUGCCUCAUCUUGAUCAAUUUGGUUGGAAUCAUGGCCUCUAGCUACACUUUUUACUUGCUUGCAAUGUACGUCUCCCUCCCUUUCUGGUGUUCACUCCAGGCAGGCAGAAAAGAGAGGUGAUGUGUCUUGAAUCUUGUUGUGUGAGGUUCAUUAUGACAACAGACAUGUCCACGUUCAUUCAUAAGGGAUCUAUAGAGUUGCCUUGAAUUUGAAACUGUGAAGGAGCAAUCUGAAUCCUAAACUAGGGCAACAAUUUGCGCUAUGGUCAGAGGGUCAAUGGUUUCCCUGGAUUCACUGGUCGACGCUUCUUCUUCUGAUAUGCUGGAAGAUGUUUUGUGUUGUGCAACUUGUGCUGCAUACCUCAAGUUCAGAUAAAAUUUGGUAUGAUAGUACACAUCUGCUACAUUCACAUCAGAUGAUUGAUCUCCUAUGAAGUUUAACAUCUUUACUAUACAUUCUGCCCAGUUUUCCAUUUUGGAAUCAACAAUAUCUGUUAAAUCAAAUCAACUUUAUUUAUAAAGCACAUUUAAAAUUGACCACUGGGGUAGCCAAAGUGCUGUACAAUGGGCAGGUUAAAAGAUAAUAUGAGGACCGAGCAAACAACACAACACAAACAGAACAUGAUAAAAAAUAAAUAAAUAAAACAUAAAAACAGGUUCACAGCAGGUGUAUAAUGGGGCACCAUUGCAGGAUGGAUAUCACUCAGUGUUAAAAGCCAAGGAAUAAAAGUAUGUUUUUAAGAGAGAUUUAAAAACAGGAAGAGAGGAGGCUUGUCUAACACUCAGAGGUAGGUCAUUCCGUUAAUGCCUUGUGGAGGGAGAUCUUUCGUAUCCUCCCCUUCACAUAUCACAUAAUGAAUACCACUGGUUUGGGGAUGACUUGAUCGAAGCUUUCUAGCACUUAA